UGGACGUAACUCCUGACCAUUGUGAACCUACCACUGUUGCUUCGGCGGCCUCGCCCCGGGCGCGUUCGCGCGGCCCGGACCCAGGCGUCCGCCGGAGGCUCCAAACUCUUGUCUUUUAGUGUAUUUCUGAGUGGCAUAAGCAAAUAAAUCAAAACUUUCAGCAACGGAUCUCUUGGUUCUGGCAUCGAUGAAGAACGCAGCAAAAUGCGAUAAGUAAUGUGAAUUGCAGAAUUCAGUGAAUCAUCGAAUCUUUGAACGCACAUUGCGCCCGCCAGUAUUCUGGCGGGCAUGCCUGUCUGAGCGUCAUUUCAACCCUCAGGACCCGUUCGCGGGACCUGGCGUUGGGGAUCAGCCUGCCCCUGGCGGCGGCUGGCCCUGAAAUCCAGUGGCGGUUCCCUCGCGAACUCCUCCGUGCAGUAAUUAAACCUCUCGCGGCAGGAUAGCGGUUGAACCACGCCGUUAAACCCCCCACUUCUCAAGGUUGACCUCAGAUCAGGUAG
rnacentral:rRNA from 1 species